AGAUUUCCCAGCUGAGAGCGAAGACUUCAAAAGCAGAAUGGACAGAUAACACAGUUAUGGCUCUACACCAGAGGCUCAGAGAACUGUGGAAGCAAAGUGCCCUGACAUAGACCUUACCAUUAGAAGAAAACCUACAUCGUUUUGAACCAGGGGACUGGAUUUGGAUAAAAUCAUACAGCCGCAAGUCACCACUACAACCAAAGUGGAAUGGGCCCUUUCAAGUUCUGCUAACCACCCAGACAGCAAUCAAAGUAGCUGAAAGGAAAGCCUGGAUCCACUGGAUGCACAUCAAACCAGCAGUUGUAGACCACAGCAUUAUACCUGAGGCAACACCAAAGGUUCCACCCCUGAGGCUCAAGAAAAACCCAGAAACCGAGGAGUGGACACUAAAAACACUUUUUGAAACUGAAACAAAUGGGGGAGGGAAUUAAGUUCAUCUUUGUUAAAAUCCUGUAUACUAUUUAUAUUGUAUUUUUGUAUUUGAAAUGUACCUCUGGGUUCAUGGAACCAAAAUUAUUUCCAGACAAGGGGAAUGUAUGGGAGUAUUUAGCAAGAGAAGUGCUAAACACCACAGAUUUUUGCCUGGCUGGGGGUAGAUCAGUAAAAGACAUCUUAACCACAUGCCUGAAGGGAGUAGCAAUAGCACCAAAAGCCAUCAUAAAUGACACUAAGUUAAGAGGGCACCCACUGACAGCCUCAUACUACAAUAUUUUUGAUUGGGGGACCAGUACAAACAUAAAAGUCAGCAGCAUGUAUAUAUUGCAAGUGGCAACUGUAACUCAAGCAGCUACUUGCUUCAUACUGACCGGAUGCCACAUGCCUAAGGUCUCCAGCUGCUACAAUCUCACUAACACUGAACUGGCCUGCAACAACACCAGGGCCAUCACCUUUUCAUACGGCUAUGUGAAACUUCCUACAGGAUGGUUUCUGCUAUGUGGCCUAAAAGCUUAUUCCUACCUGCCAGCAAACUCCACAAACUCCUAACUCCUUGCACGUUAGGGUGACUAACCAUGCUAAUGCCCUCCCUGCAAAGGCGGCAAGGGAGAAGCUUCCACACGUUACCUCCUGACUGUGACUCAAAGGCCUCCCUCCUCACCAAAGCUGAAUGUAUUGCAUUGGCUGUCUCUCUAGUGGAAGUGCCAGGGCUUGCAGCAUGGAACUCAAGGAAUAUAAACAGCUUGGCAUGUACCCUAGCUAAAAGUCUAAACACCACCUCCCAUGCUCUAGAUGCCUUGAACAAAGAAUUAAGGCAAGUCAGAGAAGCAACCCUCGAGAAUAGAGCAGCUAUUGACUACUUAUUGUUAAGGCACAAUCAUGGCUGUGAAGAAUUCUAUGGACUCUGCUGUUUCAACCUAUCUGACCAAUCUGGGCUAAUUGAACAAGAUAUCAAACAUUUAAAAGAACUAGCACAGAACAUUGGACACAACCAAUCAUACUGGGACCUUUCCUGGCUUUUCUCAUGGUUACCAGAUUUCCAUUGGUUGAAAAUUCUCAUUGCUAGCGUAAUCCCAGUCAUAGUAGGUGGAGCCCUCCUUUGUUGCCUAUGCCAAUCAAUUCCUUUAGGGUUAAAGUGCCUAAAGAUCUGCAUGACUCCCAUCAGAGGCAAAGAACAGAGCAAGAAAACCUCUCUCAUGAUGUGCCAAAUUAUCACCACUACCGUAUAUAUGAACCAGUUAGGCUAAUCACUGGUACACCAGUGAUAGCCCAAAAUGGGGGAAUUGAUAAGAGCUGGACACCCCCUCCCCACCCCAACGAGGGAAUGACCAGACAAACACAGGGAAAAAACCCAAUAUGAACUAACCUGAUUCAGCAGCAGCCUGAGGCUGGAUGGCAAACACUUAACACACACUGAAUGGAGAACUGGCUAGCAGCAAUUAGGAUUAACAAAUACACGACAAUAAAGUAAUUAACACCUUUUAGGCAGGAUUAGGAAGGAAAUUUGCCCAACAAUAGUCACUGACUAGCAAAUCAGGGAAGACAGAUUCGAACUCACCAAUCAAAAAUGACAAGUUUGGAAACCACGAAAGGGUAUAAAAACUCAUGUUUGAAGACCAUUCUGUCUAGCUAGCCAGGGAUUCAUGCUGAAUUGUCACUCAACUUUGAUCUCCGUGAUUAAAUCUCUCUUUCCGGUA